rnacentral:rRNA from 1 species
CAGAGAUGCUUUGGUGCCUUCGGGAACUCUGAGACAGGUGCUGCAUGGCUGUCGUCAGCUCGUGUUGUGAAAUGUUGGGUUAAGUCCCGCAACGAGCGCAACCCUUAUCCUUUGUUGCCAGCGGUCCGGCCGGGAACUCAAAGGAGACUGCCAGUGAUAAACUGGAGGAAGGUGGGGAUGACGUCAAGUCAUCAUGGCCCUUACGAGUAGGGCUACACACGUGCUACAAUGGCGCAUACAAAGAGAAGCGACCUCGCGAGAGCAAGCGGACCUCAUAAAGUGCGUCGUAGUCCGGAUUGGAGUCUGCAACUCGACUCCAUGAAGUCGGAAUCGCUAGUAAUCGUGGAUCAGAAUGCCACGGUGAAUACGUUCCCGGGCCUUGUACACACCGCCCGUCACACCAUGGGAGUGGGUUGCAAAAGAAGUAGGUAGCUUAACCUUCGGGAGGGCGCUUACCACUUUGUGAUUCAUGACUGGGGUGAAGUCGUAACAAGGUAAGCGUAGAUGA